AUUGAACGCUGGCGGCGUGCUUAACACAUGCAAGUCGAUCGGUAACAGGUGUAGCAAUACAUGCUGACGAGAGGCGGACGGGUGAGUAAUGCUUGGGAAUCUGCCUAUUAGUGGGGGACAACCCGGGGAAACUCGGGCUAAUACCGCAUACGCUCUACGGAGGAAAGCCGGGGACCGCAAGGCCUGGCGCUAAUAGAUGAGCCCAAGUCGGAUUAGCUAGUUGGUAGGGUAACGGCCUACCAAGGCGACAAUCCGUAGCUGGUCUGAGAGGACGACCAGCCACACCGGAACUGAGACACGGUCCGGACUCCUACGGGAGGCAGCAGUGGGGAAUAUUGGACAAUGGGGGCAACCCUGAUCCAGCGACGCCGCGUGGGUGAAGAAGGCCUGCGGGUUGUAAAGCCCUUUCGGUGGGAAGAAAAGUCUCGACCUAAUACGUCGGGACCUUGACGUAACCCACUAAAGAAGCACCGGCUAACUCUGUGCCAGCCGCCG
rnacentral:rRNA from 1 species